rnacentral:rRNA from 1 species
AGAGUUUGAUCCUGGCUCAGAAUGAACGCUGGCGGCGUGCCUAACACAUGCAAGUUGAGCGGUAAGGCCCCUUCGGGGGUACACGAGCAGCGAACGGGUGAGUAUCGCGUGGGUAACCUACCCAGAAGUGCGGAAUAGCCUCGGGAAACCGGGGGUAAUACCGCAUAAGGUUUCGACGACAUAAGUCGAUGAGAGCAAAGGCGGGGAUCCUUCGGGACCUGUCGCUUCUGGAUGGGCCCGCGUCCGAUUAGCUAGUUGGUGAGGUGAUGGCUCACCAAGGCUGCGAUCGGUAGCCGGCCUGAGAGGGUGAACGGCCACAUUGGGACUGAGACACGGCCCAGACUCCUACGGGAGGCAGCAGUGGGGAAUCUUGGGCAAUGGGGGAAACCCUGACCCAGCGACGCCGCGUGGAGGAUGACGGCCUUUGGGUUGUAAACUCCUGUCAGGUGGGAAGAAAAGCCUGUCGGCCAAUACCCGGCAGGAAUUGACGGUACCACCAAAGGAAGCCCCGGCUAACUCCGUGCCAGCAGCCGCGGUAAUACGGAGGGGGCAAGCGUUAUUCGGAUUUACUGGGCGUAAAGCGCACGUAGGUGGCAUGGUAAGUCACAGGUGAAAGCCCUCGGCUCAACCGAGGAACUGCCUGUGAACUGCCUUGCUUGAGUCCGGGAGGGGGAGCGUAAUUCCCAGUGAGCGUGAAUGGUAAUACUGGUAGGACCCCGUUGCUAAGCGUUCCUGUCCGGUAUGACCUAAGUGCACGGGGGGUCACAACAAUUAGUUC